GGUCAGGCCACUUGAGAGGAAUAUGGGAAUGUUGUCAGAGAAUGCAGGGAUGCCACAAGGAAGGCUAAGGCGCAUUUGGAAUUAAAUCUGGGAAGG